UUCUUUCUUCGUCUAAAACAUUUUGUAUCGUCUGUUUGUAAUUAUUUACAGGAGAUUCGAUUUGUUCGAGAAGCACGGAGGUACCGUGAGCGACUUCCGUGACAUCUGCCGGAUCGAGCACGCGCUUCCCUCCAUCGACUGCGUCAUCGAUUCACUCUCUUAUAACCUGUUCGAUCGUUCUUCAAUUAUAUCUGCUCCCUAUUGUAGGCUAAAUACGUACAAUAGUACUUUUCUAAUAUCUCGCGCGAUUGUGUUUUAAUUGUAUAAUAUAAUAUAUAUAUAUAUAUAUUAUAAUAUAUAAUUAUUAAUAUAUUAUAUAUAUUUAAUUGUAUACGUUACUAUGAAUUGUCGAGACAGUUUCAUUUAAGGCUUUCCAGUGAAGUAUUUAUUUCUUCUUCUACGAGAAAGAUGCAAAUCAGAAAUUCAUUUCAAGAACAACGAAGCUUCAUUGCAAGAAACAAAACCUGCUCGUGAUGUUGAAGCUCGACGAACGAUGACAUUCAACCGUAUGAAAUCUGGAGAUCUUUGCAUGUGUUUUUUAAACACAUUGUUCAGACCCAAAAUCGAGCGAAACCGCAAACUGCCAAUAUUCGAAAUGCAGCACGUUGGAAAUAGUUUCAUUAAUUCUUACACGAACGGAUGUGAUAGGAUAAUUUUCAUGAAAUUAUGCAUAUUUAUUUUAAUAAUAUAAUAUAAUAAUUUAAUAAUAA